rnacentral:misc_RNA from 1 species
AGGAGGAGGAGGAGGAGGAGGAAUGAACUGUCAAGACUGUGGGAACCAAGCGAAAAAAGAUUGUACCCAUUUGCGAUGUAGAACUUGUUGUAAAAGCCGAGGGUUUCAGUGCCAAACCCACGUCAAGAGCACUUGGGUUCCUGCUGCUAAAAGGCGAGAGAGGCAACAACAGCUAUCUGCUUUGCAACAUCAGCAGGAGCAACAAGAACAACAAAAUCAAGAACAACAGUUUCGAGGAGAGAAUCCAAAAAGGCAGAGAGAGAAUCAAGGUGGUGCUCCCUCUCUUGCUUGCACUGGUUUAGCCACAACCACGUCAGGGUUGGAAGUAGCUCACUUUCCACCGGAAGUGAAUUCCCCAGCGGUGUUCCGUUGCGUUAGAGUAAGCCCAAUGGAUGAACCAGAUGAGCAGUAUGCAUAUCAAACGGCUGUCAAUAUCGGAGGUCAUGUUUUCAGGGGAAUUCUCUACGAUCAAGGUCCAGAUGGCCGUUACACAAGUGGAGGAGAGAGCUCCUCUGGCGGAGCCCAGCAACUGGAUUUCAUAACGGCAGCGACAACUAGCACUGCAGCAACUACGACAAACGCUAGUAACCCAGGUGCUGAAGCUAUGCUCGACCCAUCUCUAUAUCCAGCUCCACUCAAUGCUUUUAUAGCUGGUACGCAAUUCUUCCCACCCCCAAGGUCCUAGUUUAAAAUAGGCCUCUCUAAGCUCUAGUGUACUUGCAUUAUUCUUAACAAACCUUCAUUUGUCAACAAUUAGUCUAUAAAUUGUGGGUUUUAAAUUUCUUUUACUGUUAUUGUGAGUUCUCUUCUUGUAGUUUUAAGUUUAACAUGCACCCAAUGAAGUAGAAGAACAGAUCGAUGGAGCAUAUAUACGAAUUAGAAAUGUGGAUGUUGGAUUUUGUUUCGAAUUUCAAUUCAGAUUUUCAUGGUUUAUAUAUUUAUUUUGAUCUUAU